rnacentral:tRNA from 1 species
GGUAAGAUGGCUGAGUGUUGAAGCAUAAGGCUGUAGGCAUUUUUACAGAGAUUUGAUUCCUCUUCUUAACU